rnacentral:lncRNA from 1 species
AUUUGUUAUGCCUUUUUGAAUUACAUGAGUCCAAGCUCCAUGUACAACCAUUUUCAUGUAACUUACAAACUAAGUUUAGCCUUCUCUGGUCAGAGUAAAUUGUUGUGCAAUCAAAAUGAUUUAUGAUGUUGUAUUCUUUGACUGCUCGAAUACAUUGUGUUUUGUCAUCGAAGGUCAUACCAACCUCGAGUAUACUGAUUGGUGGUUG